CAUUUCUUUUCUUCUUUCUUCUUUUCUCUUCUCUCUUCUGUUCUUUUUCUUCUUCUGUUUCUUCACCUCUGAAGAAUUCGCGUGAGAACUCUGCUGCUGUAAAGUCGAGAGCGUAGCAGGAACAUCGGGGUUUGAUAGAUGCUGCUGGUGGUGGUGAAUCUGUUUGUUGUUGAUUCAAAUUCGGAUCUGAGAUGAAUUGAGAAUUAGGGUUCUGGGAUGGUUUCGAGUUUGUGUAAAAUUGGAGUUGGGGAUCGAAACAAGAAGAGAUAGAACAAGGAUGGCUUGUUGUUAGAUUGAAGAACAUGAGGGUGGUAGUUCAAUUAAAGUUAUGAAGUUGAUUCAGUGAAUAAACAAAGAGUUGGGGUUUCUGUGGUUUCAAUGGAAGUUCAAUUUAGGUGAUGAUUAAGAAGAAAUUAGAGGAUGGGUGUUGAGGAACGUGAUUAAAGAAGAUUGUUAUGGUUUUAAUUUGGGGUUUUGGCUACAAGGAAUAAGAUGGAUUAAGAAAUUUGAAGAAUUAGGGUUCAUAUUCUUCCCCAAUUUAUGAACUAGAGUUUCAGCAGAAUUGAUUUGAUAAAUUAGCAAUUCAGAAGACGCUAUUGGUUGGGUGAGUCUUUAAUUGUUCUGAACUUAAGUAAUUUGAAUUGAACUGCUUUAAUUAAUGAGUUUAUGAAUUAUGAGUUGUAAUUGAAGAUGCAAUUGAUUUGUGAUUGAGAUACUCGUGGAAUGGAACUGGGAUUAUGGAUGAGAAGAUGUUGACUUUGAAAUUAUCGUAACUGGAAUUGUGUGGAAUUGAGUGAAGAAACAGAUGAUGGGAUUUCAGUAGUGUAUGAUUGUUGUAGAAUGUAGGUGAAAUAAUUGGUGGUAUUACAGGUUCUGUAAGAAGAGAUGUGGUUUUGAAUGAGUUAUAAGAUAUGGAUGAGUUUAGCUAGAUUAUUAGGAGGUUUAGUGGUUGUAUUGGUUGAGUCUGGUGGAUGUAAGAUGGUGAUUGUCUUAAGAUGGAAUUGAAGGUGUUGGUGAUGUUGAACUAGACAGUUAUAGCUGGAAGGGGAAAAGAAAGAGUCGAACAGAAUUGAAUCAGAUUGUAUUGCAGGGAAGAGUUGAGUGUAGUGAAGUCAUAGAAGUUAUGUCUAAAGAAGUGGAAUGAGAUAUUAUGGGACUGAGUUAUAGGAAUGGAGUAUGUUUGAGUGUAAACAAUGGGAUUGGUGCAGAUGUAAUGAGGUGGUGGUAGUGUUGUUGAAGUUCAUGGAACUGCAGUUGCAGUUAUAGUAGUAUUGUUUGUGUGUUUGAGAGUUUUAGAGAUGCAGUGGCAGUAUAGAUGUGCUGGUUUGUUUGAGUUGAGAAGAGAGUUAAUGCAUCUACUGCAAUUGCAGUUAGUGUAUAUUAACAACAAUCGAUUCAAAGGAUGAACCAGCAGAUCGUGGAUCUCGAGUUAGGCGUGGCUUGUCAUCAAAAAAGUUUUCAGAGACAGAUCAGAAUUGCGCAGCGAAAGCCACAAGUGUUGAAGCUUGGUAUUUUUAGAAGCUAUGGAAAUGACAACUACAUAUGUUUGGUCUCGGGUUAUUUUUGAAACUGACAACCUUAAUAUAAGCUGUUAUCUAACAAAUAGUUCUUCACUUCCUCUUUGGCAGAGUAUUCAUAUCCUUCGAAAAUGUGUAAAUCAAUAUACAAUUAACUUUGUUUAGUCUUUGUGAGUUUGUUUAUCGAGUUGUAAUAAACCUGCUGAUGCUUAAGAAAACACUGCGAGUAUGCUUAAUCUUUAUGGGAAAUGAUGGUUAUGUCCA